UGACUUAAGCAUAUCAAUAAGCGGAGGAAAAGAAACCAACAGGGAUUACCUCAGUAACGGCGAGUGAAGCGGUAACAGCUCAAAUUUGAAAGCUGCCAACAGGCCGCGUUGUAAUUUGUAGAAGAUGCUUUGGGGGUCGGCCUAGUCUAAGUUCCUUGGAACAGGACGUCAUAGAGGGUGAGAAUCCCGUAUGUGAUUAGUGCCUGCUCCCGUGUAAAGCUCUUUCGACGAGUCGAGUUGUUUGGGAAUGCAGCUCAAAAUGGGUGGUAUAUUUCAUCUAAAGCUAAAUAUUGGCCAGAGACCGAUAGCGCACAAGUAGAGUGAUCGAAAGAUGAAAAGCACUUUGGAAAGAGAGUUAAACAGUACGUGAAAUUGUUGAAAGGGAAGCGCUUGCAACCAGACUUGCAGGCGGUCGAUCAUCCGAGGUUCUCCCCGGUGCACUCGAUCGUCUUCAGGCCAGCAUCGGUUUUGGUGGCGGGAUAAAGGCUCUAGGAAUGUGGCUCUUCGGAGUGUUAUAGCCUAGGGUGCAAUGCCGCCUACCGGGACCGAGGACCGCGCUUCGGCUAGGAUGCUGGCGUAAUGGUUGUAAGCGGCCCGUCUUGAAACACGGACCAAGGAGUCUAACAUCUAUGCGAGUGUUUGGGUGUCAAACCCAUACGCGUAAUGAAAGUGAACGGAGGUGAGAGCCCUUUAGGGCGCAUCAUCGACCGAUCCUGAUGUCUUCGGAUGGAUUUGAGUAAGAGCAUAGCUGUUGGGACCCGAAAGAUGGUGAACUAUGCGUGAAUAGGGUGAAGCCAGAGGAAACUCUGGUGGAGGCUCGCAGCGGUUCUGACGUGCAAAUCGAUCGUCAAAUUUGCGUAUAGGGGCGAAAGACUAAUCGAACCAUCUAGUAGCUGGUUCCUGCCGAAGUUUCCCCUCAGG
rnacentral:rRNA from 1 species